UAACUUGGAAUUUGCAGUCAAAGGUAAAAACAUAACAAGCCUGGGGGUAGGCCGCAGGGGUUUGAUCAAAGUGCACACAGGGCUGGAAUUCAUCGUGCAAGGUUAAAACAGAGAAAUAUAGCAAGCUUGAGGGGCAGGCCACAGAGGUUUGAUCAAAAUUGCGCACAGUAUAUCAAAUGAUAGCUAAAGAAUAGAGCUUGUGCAAUCUAUUUAACACCUCUUCACCCAAUCCCAAUAUAGCAGGUAUGUUGUUAUUAGUCGGAACAGAAGUUGACUGUGAUCAAGCCAAGUAAUUAUAAGACCAAGAAAAUUAACAAGAAGACACUAUAAACACAGAUAUUAAGAGAAACAGAUUUUUAUUCAACUUAUGUAACUUUAAUUUUCAAGGAGCAGCUUUAUAAUUCUCAACACCAAGACCAUACAACACCCCAGCAUACUUCUCAGGUGAGCCACUAAAAAAGCUUUCUUUCAACUUCAUGAAGGCACGAGAAGUGAGCAAACUAUCCGAACCAGCUUGGUGACAGAUUCCAAUUCUCUCAACUUCCAAAAGCUCAGCAAGCUUGUUCAGACCACCAUGGAGACUGUUGCAGAACCUCAUGAGAUGCUUGAUAUCAUAGAACACCGGGAAAUACAUUUUCAGCAAAUCAAAGAAGCCCGCUUGUGUAUCAGGCAGCUUCUGGCAAGUCAGCAUCUUCAGCAAGUAACCAAAAUCAUAACCACUGUGAAAGGUCACCCAUUGAACAUUAUCAUUCAGAACAAUCCCUGACGACAUCAACAGCUCACCAAACUUACCAACAUCAAUACCCUGCUCGCUGUUUCUCUGAAAAUCAAUACCACACUGAGUCAGAAGCUCAAUUGAGUCAUUAGCAUAGGCAUCUUUCUCCAAAUCAAACUCACGGAAGUUGAACUGCCAGAUACAUCCCUUGUCAGUCCCACAAGUCGGCAAAUUCCCU